AGGGUUCAACACAUAUAACAGAAACCAAGUAAAAAAUUAACAGAAUGGAAAAUCACUCAAGCUCAAAUUCAAUGCAAGAUUUGAAUGAAUCCUCUUUACUACAUUGGUCUCAGCAUGUUUCUAUUAUAAAUAAAAACCUCACAAAUGCUCAGAGUGCUAAUCAUCCAACUGCAAUAAACAACAAUUUUAUACAGAUAAACUUGCAAUCAACAAAUAUUUACACGCUAUAAAUGUCAAAGCAAUAAUCAAUUUUACACAAGUCAAUUGAACCUUACAUGUAAAGUUUU
rnacentral:misc_RNA from 1 species